UACGUAGGUGGCAAGCGUUGUCCGGAUUUACUGGGCGUAAAGAGCGCGCAGGCGGUCGUUCAAGUCGCGUGUGAAAGCCCCCGGCUCAACUGGGGAGGGUCACGCGAUACUGAUCGACUCGAAGGCAGGAGAGGGUAGUGGAAUUCCCGGUGUAGUGGUGAAAUGCGUAGAUAUCGGGAGGAACACCAGUGGCGAAGGCGACUACCUGGCCUGUUCUUGACCCUGAGGCGCGAAAGCUAGGGGAGCAAACGGG
rnacentral:rRNA from 1 species